AGGGCAGAGUUUCCUUUCCCGGACCCGCAGGGCGGGCGUGGAUCUCACAGAGCGCGGGGCUGACCGCAAAGUCGUCCUGCGCUUUCCCGCUGAGUGAGCUCCUCGCACGCUUCCCCUGCGCUCAGGGCCGGGGUCUCAGGCCGGGCAGACGCCGAGGUUCUCAGUAUAUACCUCUCACUGGCCUGAAACCCACUGUACAGUUCAGGUUGGCCUCAAACUCACGGAUGUCUCCCUCCCUCAGUCUGUUGACCAGUGAAGAAUAGGGAAAACUACAGUUGAACAUGAAUAGAAAUGGAGGUGCUGUGUAUAUGCAUUACUGUUGGUUCCCAUCCUCCUAAGUGUGAAGACAAAACAAACACAGCUAAGACACAGCGCUGAGAGAGUCUUCUUCCCUGCAGAGGGUGGGGAUAGAUGAGACUUUUCCAAAGCUAUGCUUUUCCUCAGCAAAGGAAGCAGGGGGCUUUUACUGAGGGAGUCUGGACACAUUCAUGUGAGGUCUGCCUAUACCUAAGGAUGCUCUGUUAACAGGUGUACUUCUGAACAUGGACACACUGUAAAGGCAGAGAUGUUAGUCUUAGCUCAAUAAACUGCGGGAACAAAUGUAUAAUAUAAAAAUCAUGAACAGAAAUGCUUCUGGAAUCUUUGCUGAAAAUCUAGUAAAGGAUACUGGGAACGUAGACUACUUAGGAGCAAAUGUUACCUGAUAAUCAAGAUGUAUCAUCUAAGGAUCUAUGUAUCAAUGCCAGAAUUCUCAUAAAUACACAGGACAGAGACAGAAAACAGAAUACAUAAGGAAAAGUCACCCGUCACACCGUGGAUGCCAUUCUAGGAAGAACACCUCUGCUGGGCUACUCUAGCCUCAGAACAAGGGUGAUUUGGCUCUGAGCAGACUGCUUCAGAGGAAGGCUACAGAGGCUUCCAUUCAGUACCAGAAAGAGAUCAUCCUAAAUAGCCCUGACUGCUGGAUGGCUUGGGACAGUGACACCACUACAGAGAAUUCCAUUCCUUUUUAAUUUAAUUUUUAUUUUUAUUAAGUUUCAUUAAAAUGUAAUUACCCCAUUUUCCCCUUUCCUCCAUCCUUCCCCUCAUAUGUCCUCUCCCUUAAACUCCUACUCUGCCUCCAAAAUUUCAAAUUGAUUGUCUCUUUUUCUUCAUUUGUUACAUAUGUGUGAAUAAAUAUGCCCAAGUAUCAA